rnacentral:rRNA from 1 species
AACGAACGCUGGCGGCAGGCCUAACACAUGCAAGUCGAACGAUAAGCCACCUUCGGGUGGUGGACAGUGGCAGACGGGUGAGUAACGCGUGGGAACGUGCCUUUCGGUUCGGGAUAACCCAGGGAAACUUGGGCUAAUACCGGAUACGCCCUUCGGGGGAAAGAUUCAUUGCCGAAAGAUCGGCCCGCGUCGGAUUAGCUUGGUGGUGGGGUAAUGGCCUACCAAGGCGACGAUCCGUAGCUGGUCUGAGAGGAUGACCAGCCACACUGGGACGGAGACACGGCCCAGACUCCUACGGGAGGCAGCAGUGGGGAAUAUUGGACAAUGGGCGAAAGCCUGAUCCAGCCAUGCCGCGUGGGUGAAGAAGGCCUUAGGGUUGUAAACCCCUUUCAGCGGGGACGAUAAUGACGGUACCCGCAGAAGAAGUCCCGGCUAACUCCGUGCCAGCCGCCGCGGUAA